AAAUUGAAGAGUUUGAUCAUGGCUCAGAUUGAACGCUGGCGGCAGGCCUAACACAUGCAAGUCGAACGGUAACAGGAAGCAGCUUGCUGCUUCGCUGACGAGUGGCGGACGGGUGAGUAAUGUCUGGGAAACUGCCUGAUGGAGGGGGAUAACUACUGGAAACGGUGGCUAAUACCGCAUAAUGUCGCAAGACCAAAGAGGGGGACCUUC
rnacentral:rRNA from 1 species